rnacentral:rRNA from 1 species
GAUCCUGGCUUAGGAUGAACGCUAGCGGCAGGCUUAACACAUGCAAGGUCGAGGGGCAGCGCUGAGUAGCAAUACUCUGGCGGCGACCGGCGAAAGGGUGAGUAACGCGUGAGCAACAUGCCCGGUAGUGGAGGAUAGUCGAUGGAAACGUCGCGUAAUACUCCGUAACAACAUUGACCGCAUGAUCGAUGUUUAAUAGAUUUAUUGCUAUCGGAUUGGCUCGCGUACCAUUAGCUAGUUGGCGGGUAACGGCCCACCAAGGCGACGGUGGUUAGGGGUUCUGAGAGGAAGGUCCCCCACAUUGGAACUGAGACACGGUCCAGACUCCUACGGGAGGCAGCAGUGAGGAAUAUUGGACAAUGGCCGGAAGGCUGAUCCAGCCAUGCCGCGUGCGGGAAAGACGGCCCUAUGGGUUGUAAACCGCUUUUGUUGGGGAGCAAUAAGGGUCACGUGUGGCCUGAUGAGAGUACCCAGCGAAUAAGCAUCGGCUAACUCCGUGCCAGCAGCUGC